GACGUAGGGCGCGAGCGUUGUCCGGAUUUAUUGGGCGUAAAGAGCUCGUAGGCGGCUCGUUGCGUCGGCUGUGAAAACCCGCAGCUCAACUGUGGGCUUGCAGCUGAUACGGGCGGGCUGGAGUUCGGUAGGGGAGACUGGAAUUCCUGGUGUAGCGGUGAAAUGCGCAGAUAUCAGGAGGAACACCGGUGGCGAAGGCGGAUCUCUGGGCCUUGCCUGACGCUGAGGCGCGAAAGCUAGGGGAGCGAACAGG
rnacentral:rRNA from 1 species